GAUGAACGCUAGCGGCAGGCUUAACACAUGCAAGUCGAGGGGUAUAGUUCUUCGGAACUAGAGACCGGCGCACGGGUGCGUAACGCGUAUGCAAUCUACCUUUUACAGGGGGAUAGCCCAGAGAAAUUUGGAUUAAUACCCCAUAGUAUGUUAGAGUGGCAUCAUUUUAACAUUAAAGUUCCAACGGUAAAAGAUGAGCAUGCGACCCAUUAGCUAGAUGGUAAGGUAACGGCUUACCAUGGCGACGAUGGGUAGGGGUCCUGAGAGGGAGAUCCCCCACACUGUGACUGAGACACGGACCAGCCGCCUACGGGAGGCAGCAGUGAGGAAUAUUGGACAAUGGGCGCAAGCCUGAUCCAGCCAUGCCGCGUGCAGGAAGACGGUCCUAUGGAUUGUAAACUGCUUUUGUACAGGAAGAAAUACUCCCUCGUGAGGGAGCUUGACGGUACUGUAAGAAUAAGGAUCGGCUAACUCCGUGCCAGCAGCCGCCGUAAAAC
rnacentral:rRNA from 1 species